UGGGCUUCCAGGCACCAAAAGCCGGCCCAGACACUGUGGAGCGUCCUGCACGCGCUGCUGGCCAGGCGGGGACUGUCGGUGGAACCGGGCCAACGUCUUAGCGGAGAGUCUCCCGGGAAGCAAGGAGAACGAACAAGAACGAACUACCCGAGACCGUUCCUUCCCAAGAUCGAACGACCCUCACUGUGAGAGGCGUGUGUUGUCCUCACCACGUUGUUGCCCUGGCGCUGGUCUGUGUAGGCUGGGCAUUGCACGGCACGGUGGCACAGACCCCUGCAAAUAGCCCACGGAGGGCCAGAGGAGGGGACCGAGACACUGACGGGGAAAUUCCACUCCAGAGGUUGCUCGAGGUGCUCUGACUUCCAGGUUCUUCUUUGUGAACCGAAGGUUACUUUUUCCAGUGGAGAACAUCCCGUGGGUGGCUACGUGAAAUCGCAUGAAGCUUAUGCAUGUUGGCAGAAUUGUCACCCUGCGGUCGCGAGGUCUUCCCAUCCAUUUAGACUUCUCUUAUUUUGCACCCUUUGGGAAAAUUGUUUCAUUUUCUUCCAAGAUUUCUUGAUUUUUAAAAAAUGAUGGCAAAAGUCCAAGUGGCUGGUGUGGGCCA